UAUCUUCAGGUGACUACAGAUGUGUUAACACCCAGCAUGUUCCGGUAGGAGACUUUCUGGAUGGGGAAGAUUUCCAGGAAUUGGCAACAAGCUCAUUUCACUGGUGGGUUUGCUGAAGCAUUAUCACAAGACAGAAUGAUUGAUGAGUGCUCUUCAGGUGUGAAUCACGGCAAUACAGUGAAAGACGGUGAUUUACUGCUUUUGAGGGCGUGCAUGUAUAUGAUUAAGGGAUGGAAGUGCAGGACUCCAAGAUUUACUUCCUUCCCUUUCCAGCAGAACUACCUGAGAGGAGUCAAAUCUACUGAUGGAGUCACUCCAUUAUUCUUAUCUGUGGAGAUCUAGAUCUUGAUUUGAAAGUUUCUGAGAAAAUCUUCAGCUCAGACUUGAGGGUCAACUUUACCAACUGAAGGAUCUGCAUUUAUUGCUCAAUCACAUCUAAUUUGAUGUUCUCUGCAGAUUUAAAAUGUGUGCCUUCUUUUCCAUCACCAAGUCAUCCCUGGGUUACUACUGAACAUCCUUCUCAAUUCCCCCCGACCCAUGGAUGGCUGUUCUCCAUUGUCUAUUUCACCAGAUGUCCUCAAAACAAACAGACAGAAGAAGGAAGUGGCUAACGGAGCUGUGGAGUCCAAGUGUGACUGCCAAGAGGAAUCCAGCAAAGCCAAAAAGCCCAAGCAUGUAGCCCUGCCUGAAGCCCACCACACGCAUGGAAAACCCAGAGGAAAUGAGUGAGGAUCAGUGGGAAGAAGGGAGCCAGCCAGGAAGUUGAAGAUUUGUCCAGGAGCAGAUAGCUGAAGAGAGAGAGAGAGAAGAGAGAAAGGCUUACAGCUCAGGUCCUCUCUCCAUGCUUAGGAACCACUACAAAUGCUACUGCCUUGAGUCUCAUUUUGUUUCCCUCUGGAAACCACAUGUGUACUUUGUUUGCAACAGUAUGGUUCUCGCUCUAUCACGUAGGCUGGAAUGCAGUGGUGUUGGUGUGAUAAGGGUCAGUGCAGUCUCAACCUCCUGGGCUCAAGUGAUCCUCUUGCCUCAGCCUUUUGAGUAGCUGGGACCACAGGCUCACAGGCAGAAGGAAUUUUCCUUGUCUUGGAUGAGACUUUUGACUUGGACUUUUGGGUUAAGUUCUGCAGGCCAGAAGGCCAAAAUCAAAAGUAUGAGCAGGCUUGAUUUCUUUAGAAGACUCCAAGGGAGAACUGUGUCUCCUUGCUUCUGAUUCUACAUCUCCAUCCAUGGGCCACUGUUUCAGCAACCUCAGCCAGUGCAACACAACCUCAGCCAAGAAGAGUAUGCAGAGAAAGGAGUCGCCUACCUGCCACAAAGCUGUUGUCUGAAAACUAUCUCAUAUUGUCUCAAGUUGUCGUUCAGUGUGAAUUAGACCUUUUUAACAUGCAAUCUGCAACAUGCUUCACUGUCUAAUUUUCCAGAGCCCCUCAUAUAAGAAACUGUAUUAUUGAUAUAAUCAUCAUGGUGAAUAAGUUGGUAUGUGGGGGAGAGAUGACAGAAACAGAGAGUAAGUCAGAGCUGGCUGCCUGACAGAUAAAAAGGAAAUGACC
rnacentral:lncRNA from 1 species